rnacentral:rRNA from 1 species
UUGGAGGGCAAGUCUGGUGCCAGCAGCCGCGGUAAUUCCAGCUCCAAUAGCGUAUAUUAAAGUUGUUGCAGUUAAAAAGCUCGUAGUUGAACCUUGGGCCUGGCUGGCCGGUCCGCCUCACCGCGUGCACUGGUUCGGCCGGGCCUUUCCCUCUGGGGAGCCGCAUGCUCUUCACUGAGUGUGUCGGAGAACCAGGACUUUUACUGUGAAAAAAUUAGAGUGUUCAAAGCAGGCCUAUGCUCGAAUACAUUAGCAUGGAAUAAUAGAAUAGGACGUGUGGUUCUAUUUUGUUGGUUUCUAGGACCGCCGUAAUGAUUAAUAGGGACAGUCGGGGGCAUCACUAUUCAAUUGUCAGAGGUGAAAUUCUUGGAUUUAUUGAAGACUAACUACUGCGAAAGCCUUUGCCAAGGAUGUUUUCAUUAAUCAGGAACGAAAGUUAGGGGAUCUAAGACGAUCAGAUACCGUCGUACUCUUAACCAUAAACUAUGCCGACUACGGAUCGGACCGAUGUUACUUAUUGACUCGUUCGGCACCUUACGGGAAAC